rnacentral:rRNA from 1 species
GAGCUUGCUCUGGCGGAUCAGUGGCGAACGGGUGAGUAACACGUGAGUAACCUGCCCCCGACUCUGGGAUAACUGCUAGAAAUGGUAGCUAAUACCGGAUAUGACGAUUGGCCGCAUGGUCUGGUCGUGGAAAGAAUUUCGGUUGGGGAUGGACUCGCGGCCUAUCAGGUUGUUGGUGAGGUAAUGGCUCACCAAGCCUACGACGGGUAGCCGGCCUGAGAGGGUGACCGGCCACACUGGGACUGAGACACGGCCCAGACUCCUACGGGAGGCAGCAGUGGGGAAUAUUGCACAAUGGGCGAAAGCCUGAUGCAGCAACGCCGCGUGAGGGAUGACGGCCUUCGGGUUGUAAACCUCUUUUAGUAGGGAAGAAGCGAAAGUGACGGUACCUGCAGAAAAAGCACCGGCUAACUACGUGCCAGCAGCCGCGGUAAUACGUAGGGUGCAAGCGUUGUCCGGAAUUAUUGGGCGUAAAGAGCUCGUAGGCGGUUUGUCGCGUCUGCUGUGAAAUCCCGAGGCUCAACCUCGGGUCUGCAGUGGGUACGGGCAGACUAGAGUGCGGUAGGGGAGAUUGGAAUUCCUGGUGUAGCGGUGGAAUGCGCAGAUAUCAGGAGGAACACCGAUGGCGAAGGCAGAUCUCUGGGCCGUAACUGACGCUGAGGAGCGAAAGCAUGGGGAGCGAACAGGAUUAGAUACCCUGGUAGUCCAUGCCGUAAACGUUGGGAACUAGAUGUGGGGACCAUUCCACGGUCUCCGUGUCGCAGCUAACGCAUUAAGUUCCCCGCCUGGGGAGUACGGCCGCAAGGCUAAAACUCAAAGGAAUUGACGGGGGCCCGCACAAGCGGCGGAGCAUGCGGAUUAAUUCGAUGCAACGCGAAGAACCUUACCAAGGCUUGACAUAUACCGGAAACAUGCAGAAAUGUGUGCCCCGCAAGGUCGGUAUACAGGUGGUGCAUGGUUGUCGUCAGCUCGUGUCGUGAGAUGUUGGGUUAAGUCCCGCAACGAGCGCAACCCUCGUUCUAUGUUGCCAGCACGUAAUGGUGGGAACUCAUAGGAGACUGCCGGGGUCAACUCGGAGGAAGGUGGGGAUGACGUCAAAUCAUCAUGCCCCUUAUGUCUUGGGCUUCACGCAUGCUACAAUGGCCGGUACAAAGGGCUGCGAUACCGUAAGGUGGAGCGAAUCCCAAAAAGCCGGUCUCAGUUCGGAUUGAGGUCUGCAACUCGACCUCAUGAAGUCGGAGUCGCUAGUAAUCGCAGAUCAGCAACGCUGCGGUGAAUACGUUCCCGGGCCUUGUACACACCGCCCGUCAAGUCAUGAAAGUCGGUAACACCCGAAGCCAGUGGCCUAACCGCAAGGGAGGAGCUGUCGAAG